rnacentral:rRNA from 1 species
AAUUCGAUGAUACGCGAGGAACCUUUACCUGGGCUUAAAUGUAGAGUGCAUUGGAGGGAAACUUUCAUUUUUCUUCGGAACUCUUUACAAGGUGCUGCAUGGUUGUCGUCAGCUCGUGCCGUGAGGUGUCGGGUUAAGUCCCAUAACGAGCGCAACCCUUAUCGUUAGUUGCCAGCGGGUAAAGCCGGGGACUCUAGCGAAACUGCCGGUGUAAACCGAGAGGAAGUGGGGAUGACGUCAAAUCAGCACGGCCCUUAUGUCCAGGGCUACACACGUGUUACAAUGGCCGGUACAGAGGGCAGCUACCUGUUGACAGGAUGCGAAUCUCGAAAGCCGGUCUCAGUUCGGAUCGGAGUCUGCAACCCGACUCCGUGAAGCUGGAUUCGCUAGUAAUCGCGCAUCAGCCAUGGCGCGGUGAAUACGUUCCCGGGCCUU